rnacentral:rRNA from 1 species
GGGUUGUGAGGUUAAGCGACUAAGCGUACACGGUGGAUGCCCUGGCAGUCAGAGGCGAUGAAGGGCGUGCUAAUCUGCGAUAAGCGCCGGUAAGGUGAUAUGAACCGUUAUAACCGGCGAUACCCGAAUGGGGAAACCCAGUGUGACUCGUCACACUAUCAUUAACUGAAUCCAUAGGUUAAUGAGGCGAACCGGGGGAACUGAAACAUCUAAGUACCCCGAGGAAAAGAAAUCAACCGAGAUUCCCCCAGUAGCGGCGAGCGAACGGGGAGGAGCCCAGAGCCUGAAUCAGCAUGUGUGUUAGUGGAAGCGUCUGGAAAGGCGCGCGAUACAGGGUGACAGCCCCGUACACAAAAGCGCAUGUGCUGUGAGCUCGAUGAGUAGGGCGGGACACGUGGUAUCCUGUCUGAAUAUGGGGGACCAUCCUCCAAGGCUAAAUACUCCUGACUGACCGAUAGUGAACCAGUACCGUGAGGGAAAGGCGAAAAGAACCCCGGCGAGGGGAGUGAAAAAGAACCUGAAACCGUGUACGUACAAGCAGUGGGAGCCCCACCACUAAGCCAGUGGUGAACUCCACAUACGCAUCCUUUGCUGAGGAUACGGUUAACGGAGCGAAAGCGACGUUCAACCUCAAAAGAAGCAGAGGGGGCUUAGUGGUGGGGUGACUGCGUACCUUUUGUAUAAUGGGUCAGCGACUUAUAUUCUGUAGCAAGGUUAACCGUAUAGGGGAGCCGUAGGGAAACCGAGUCUUAACCGGGCGUUAAGUUGCAGGGUAUAGACCCGAAACCCGGUGAUCUAGCCAUGGGCAGGUUGAAGGUUGGGUAACACUAACUGGAGGACCGAACCGACUAAUGUUGAAAAAUUAGCGGAUGACCUGUGGCUGGGGGUGAAAGGCCAAUCAAACCGGGAGAUAGCUGGUUCUCCCCGAAAGCUAUUUAGGUAGCGCCUCGUGAAUUCAUCUCCGGGGGUAGAGCACUGUUUCGGCUAGGGGGCCAUCCCGGCUUACCAACCCGAUGCAAACUGCGAAUACCGGAGAAUGUUAUCACGGGAGACACACGGCGGGUGCUAACGUCCGUCGUGAAGAGGGAAACAACCCAGACCGCCAGCUAAGGUCCCAAAGUCAUGGUUAAGUGGGAAACGAUGUGGGAAGGCCCAGACAGCCAGGAUGUUGGCUUAGAAGCAGCCAUCAUUUAAAGAAAGCGUAAUAGCUCACUGGUCGAGUCGGCCUGCGCGGAAGAUGUAACGGGGCUAAACCAUGCACCGAAGCUGCGGCAGCGAACGUAUCACUUAAAGCGAUUCAGCGGAUGACGAUUGACGGAGCGAAGCGACGUCAAAGCGUAUACAAAGUCGAGUCGGUUUAAGGAUACGUUCGUUGGGUAGGGGAGCGUUCUGUAAGCCUGUGAAGGUGGCCUGUGAGGGUUGCUGGAGGUAUCAGAAGUGCGAAUGCUGACAUAAGUAACGAUAAAGCGGGUGAAAAGCCCGCUCGCCGGAAGACCAAGGGUUCCUGUCCAACGUUAAUCGGGGCAGGGUGAGUCGACCCCUAAGGCGAGGCCGAAAGGCGUAGUCGAUGGGAAACGGGUUAAUAUUCCCGUACUUGGUGUUACUGCGAAGGGGGGACGGAGAAGGCUAUGUUGGCCGGGCGACGGUUGUCCCGGUUUAAGCGUGUAGGUGUGUGUUCCAGGUAAAUCCGGUUCACUUUAACACUGAGGCGUGACGACGAGGCACUACGGUGCUGAAGCAACAAAUGCCCUGCUUCCAGGAAAAGCCUCUAAGCAUCAGGUAACAUCAAAUCGUACCCCAAACCGACACAGGUGGUCAGGUAGAGAAUACCAAGGCGCUUGAGAGAACUCGGGUGAAGGAACUAGGCAAAAUGGUGCCGUAACUUCGGGAGAAGGCACGCUGACACGUAGGUGAAGUGAUUUACUCAUGGAGCUGAAGUCAGUCGAAGAUACCAGCUGGCUGCAACUGUUUAUUAAAAACACAGCACUGUGCAAACACGAAAGUGGACGUAUACGGUGUGACGCCUGCCCGGUGCCGGAAGGUUAAUUGAUGGGGUCAGCGCAAGCGAAGCUCCUGAUCGAAGCCCCGGUAAACGGCGGCCGUAACUAUAACGGUCCUAAGGUAGCGAAAUUCCUUGUCGGGUAAGUUCCGACCUGCACGAAUGGCGUAAUGAUGGCCAGGCUGUCUCCACCCGAGACUCAGUGAAAUUGAACUCGCUGUGAAGAUGCAGUGUACCCGCGGCAAGACGGAAAGACCCCGUGAACCUUUACUAUAGCUUGACACUGAACAUUGAGCCUUGAUGUGUAGGAUAGGUGGGAGGCUUUGAAGCGUGGACGCCAGUCUGCGUGGAGCCGACCUUGAAAUACCACCCUUUAAUGUUUGAUGUUCUAACGUGGACCCGUUACCCGGGUUGCGGACAGUGUCUGGUGGGUAGUUUGACUGGGGCGGUCUCCUCCUAAAGAGUAACGGAGGAGCACGAAGGUUGGCUAAUCCUGGUCGGACAUCAGGAGGUUAGUGCAAUGGCAUAAGCCAGCUUGACUGCGAGCGUGACGGCGCGAGCAGGUGCGAAAGCAGGUCAUAGUGAUCCGGUGGUUCUGAAUGGAAGGGCCAUCGCUCAACGGAUAAAAGGUACUCCGGGGAUAACAGGCUGAUACCGCCCAAGAGUUCAUAUCGACGGCGGUGUUUGGCACCUCGAUGUCGGCUCAUCACAUCCUGGGGCUGAAGUAGGUCCCAAGGGUAUGGCUGUUCGCCAUUUAAAGUGGUACGCGAGCUGGGUUUAGAACGUCGUGAGACAGUUCGGUCCCUAUCUGCCGUGGGCGCUGGAGAACUGAGGGGGGCUGCUCCUAGUACGAGAGGACCGGAGUGGACGCAUCACUGGUGUUCGGGUUGUCAUGCCAAUGGCACUGCCCGGUAGCUAAAUGCGGAAGAGAUAAGUGCUGAAAGCAUCUAAGCACGAAACUUGCCCCGAGAUGAGUUCUCCCUGAGACUUUAGGUCUCCUGAAGGAACGUUGAAGACGACGACGUUGAUAGGCCGGGUGUGUAAGCGCAGCGAUGCGUUGAGCUAACCGGUACUAAUGAACCGUGAGGCUUAACCUUACAACGCCGAAG